rnacentral:rRNA from 1 species
UGGCGGACGGGUGAGUAACGCGUGGAUAACCUGCCGUAUACAGGGGGAUAACACUUAGAAAUAGGUGCUAAUACCGCAUAAGCGCACGGUUCCGCAUGGAACAGUGUGAAAAACUCCGGUGGUAUACGAUGGAUCCGCGCCUGAUUAGCCAGUUGGUGGGGUAACGGCCCACCAAGGCGACGAUCAGUAGCCGGCCUGAGAGGGUGAACGGCCACAUUGGGACUGAGACACGGCCCAAACUCCUACGGAAGGCAGCAG